AACAGGAUUAGAUACCCUGGUAGUCCACGCUGUAAACGAUGUCGACUUGGAGGUUGUGCCCUUGAGGCGUGGCUUCCGGAGCUAACGCGUUAAGUCGACCGCCUGGGGAGUACGGCCGCAAGGUUAAAACUCAAAUGAAUUGACGGGGGCCCGCACAUGCGGUGGAGCAUGUGGUUUAAUUCGAUGCAACGCGAAGAACCUUACCUACUCUUGACAUCCAGAGAAUUUGCUAGAGAUAGCUUAGUGCCUUCGGGAACUCUGAGACAGGUGCUGCAUGGCUGUCGUCAGCUCGUGUUGUGAAAUGUUGGGUUAAGUCCCGCAACGAGCGCAACCCUUAUCCUUUGUUGCCAGCACGUAAUGGUGGGAACUCAAAGGAGACUGCCGGUGAUAAACCGGAGGAAGGUGGGGAUGACGUCAAGUCAUCAUGGCCCUUACGAGUGGGGCUACACACGUGCUACAAUGGCAUAUACAAAGAGAAGCGAACUCGCGAGAGCAAGCGGACCUCAUAAAGUAUGUCGUAGUCCGGAUUGGAGUCUGCAACUCGACUCCAUGAAGUCGGGAUCGCUAGUAAUCGUAGAUCAGAAUGCUACGGUGAAUACGUUCCCGGGCCUUGUACACACCGCCCGUCACACCAUGGGAGUGGGUUGCAAAAGAAGUAGGUAGCUUAACCUUCGGGAGGGCGCUUACCACUUUGUGAUUCAUGACUGGGGUGAAGUCGUAACAAGGUAACC
rnacentral:rRNA from 1 species